AACGCACAUUGCGCCCACUAGUAUUCUGGUGGGCAUGCCUGUUCGAGCGUCAUUUCAACCCUCAAGCCUGGCUUGGUGUUGGGGCUCUGCGUCUGCAGUCCCUUAAAUCCAGUGGCGGACACGCUAGGUCUCCGAGCGCAGUAGUUUCUCCUCGCUCAGGGCGUCCGGCGUGGGCUUGCCUCGCACCCAUCUUUUACAAGGUUGACCUCGGAUCAGGUAGGAAUACCCGCUGAACUUAA
rnacentral:misc_RNA from 1 species